ACUCGAGUGGCGAACGGGUGAGUAACACGUGGGUGAUAUGCCCUGCACUUCGGGAUAAGCCUGGGAAACUGGGUCUAAUACCGGAUAGGAGCCAUUUUUAGUGUGAUGGUUGGAAAGUUUUUCGGUGUAGGAUGAGCUCGCGGCCUAUCAGCUUGUUGGUGGGGUAAUGGCCUACCAAGGCGGCGACGGGUAGCCGGCCUGAGAGGGUGGACGGCCACAUUGGGACUGAGAUACGGCCCAG
rnacentral:rRNA from 1 species